rnacentral:lncRNA from 1 species
UGCAAUGCUGUUACAGCCAGAGCAGGAGAAUGGGAAACUGAACACCUGGCAAAGACGAUUCAAUAAAACUGGUUAUUGGGGGCUGGGGAGAUGGAUCAGUGGUUAAGAGCACUGACUGCUCUUCCGGAGGUCCUGAGUUCAAAUCCCAGCAACCACAUGGUGGCUCACAACCAUCUCUAAUGAGAUCUGAUGCCUUCUUCUGAUGUGUCUGAAGACAGCUACAGUGUACUUACAUAUAAUAAAACUUUUUAAAAACCUGGUUAUUGAUCUGUUUCAAUAAUGAAAGCCAUUGAUAGAAUGAUUAAUAAGUAGAAUAAACUUGUUUCUCACAGUCUCAGAGGCAGGGUGGUUCUGCUUCAUAGAUGGAGCCUUGUUGCUGUAUCCUAUAGAGAUUAAUGCAUUCUUCAUAACGGAAGAGCAGAAGGACAAAAAGGGACAAGGUCAGCACCCUCACAUGGUAGAA